rnacentral:rRNA from 1 species
AUUGAACGCUGGCGGCAGGCCUAACACAUGCAAGUCGAACGAGUGGCGGACGGGUGAGUAAUGUCUGGGAAACUGCCUGAUGGAGGGGGAUAACUACUGGAAACGGUAGCUAAUACCGCAUACCAUCGGAUGUGCCCAGAUGGGAUUAGCUAGUAGGUGGGGUAAAGGCUCACCUAGGCGACGAUCCCUAGCUGGUCUGAGAGGAUGACCAGCCACACUGGGACUGAGACACGGUCCAGACUCCUACGGGAGGCAGCAGUGGGGAAUAUUGCACAAUGGGCGAAAGCCUGAUCCAGCCAUGCCGCGUGUGUGAAGAAGGUCUUCGGGUUGUAAAGCACUUUCAGUUAGGAGGCGUUACCAGCAGAAGAAGCACCGGCUAACUCCGUGCCAGCAGCCGCGGUAAUUC